AUGAUGUCUUCGGACCAAAGAUUUAUCGGCAAGGGAUGAGCCCGCGUAGGAUUAGGUAGUUGGUGGGGUAAAGGCCUACCAAGCCGACGAUCCUUAGCUGGUCUGAGAGGAUGAUCAGCCACACUGGGACUGAGACACGGCCCAGACUCCUACGGGAGGCAGCAGUGGGGAAUAUUGGACAAUGGGCGCAAGCCUGAUCCAGCAAUGCCGCGUGAGUGAUGAAGGCCUUCGGGUCGUAAAGCUCUUUUACCAGGGAUGAUAAUGACAGUACCUGGAGAAUAAGCUCCGGCCAACUCCGUGCCAGCAGCCGCGGUAAUACGGAGGGAGCUAGCGUUGUUCGGAAUUACUGGGCGUAAAGCGCACGUAGGCGGCGACACAAGUCAGAGGUGAAAGCCCGGGGCUCAACCCCGGAACUGCCUUUGAAACUAGGUUGCUAGAAUCUUGGAGAGGUCAGUGGAAUUCCGAGUGUAGAGGUGAAUUCGUAGAUAUUCGGAAGAACACCAGUGGCGAAGGCGACUGACUGGA
rnacentral:rRNA from 1 species